rnacentral:rRNA from 1 species
UACGUAGGGUCCGAGCGUUGUUCGGAAUUACUGGGCGUAAAGGGCUCGUAGGCGGCCAACUAAGUCAGACGUGAAAUCCCCAGGCUCAACCUGGGAACUGCGUCUGAUACUGGUUGGCUUGAAUCCGGGAGAGGGAUGCAGAAUUCCAGGUGUAGCGGUGAAAUGCGUAGAUAUCUGGAGGAAUACCGGUGGCGAAGGCGGGUCUCUGGGCCGUAACUGACGCUGAGGAGCGAAAGCAUGGGGAGCGAACAGG